UUAUUAAUAAUCUUUUAUUUAAAAAAUAAAAACAUUCACAAAAAACUGUAAGUUCAGAUCCGAUAAAUAUAUUUUAUUCAAAAUAUAACGUUUAAAUUGGUUUUCUGUUGAAUUAGUAUUAAUAUUAUUCAUAAGCUCCAUAGACAACAUAAUUAACUCAACACAAUGCAAACUAAAUAAUUGCAUAAAACUGCAACUUUGUUAUAAAUAAAUUACAAACUUUUAGAAUAUACACUUUUUAUUAGACAAAUAUAGAGUGAAUACUAGGCAUUAAUAACUUAAAAUCUUUGAAAUAUAUCUGUCAGGUAUGUGAAAAUAUAUAAAAAUAUAUUUAUGUUUGUAUGUAAAUGAGAUUCUUUUAUAAAUAAAAAGUGCAAGAAAAAAUUUAAUUUGUGCUAUGCAAAUUUUAACUGAUGAUAAAAAUAAAUG